rnacentral:rRNA from 1 species
CCUACGGGCGGCAGCAGUGGGGAAUAUUGGGCAAUGGGCGCAAGCCUGACCCAGCAACGCCGCGUGAAGGAAGAAGGCUUUCCGGUUGUAAACUUCUUUUCGCAGGGACGAAGAAAGUGACGGUACCUGAGGAAUAAGCCACGGCUAACUACGGGCCAGCAGCCGCGGUAAGACGGAGGUGGCAAGCGUUAUCAGGAUUUACUGGGUGUAAAGGGCGUGUCGGCGGGAAAGCAGGUCAGAUGGGACAACCAGGGGCUCCACCUGUGGCCUGCCUUUGCAACGGUUUUUCUUGAGUACUGGAGCGGCAGCCGGAAUUCCUCGUGUAGCGGUGCAAUGCGUAGCUAUGAGGCGG